rnacentral:lncRNA from 1 species
GUCAAAUCCUAGAAAAUGUAGAAUUCCUAUGCAUAAUGUUAAUUCUGUGGUGAGCUUAUGGCACUGAAAUGGUGUGACAAGAAGGAGGUGACAAUGUUGUCAACAUUCCACAAUGAUACUGUGAUUGAAGUAAACAACAGAAAUGGAAAGAAGACUAAGAAGCCAUGUGUCAUUGUGGAUUAUCACAAGAAUGUGGGAGCAGUGGACUGGCUGAUCAGAUGCUCACUUCCUAUCCAACUGAGCACAAAAGGCACAAGUGCUAAGCUCCUACAUCCUGUUCUGGAAGGACAAUCCUGAGCACACGAUGAGCCGUAUAAACUUCAGACUGACGCUGAGUGAAAGAAUGCUGGAAAAGCAUCACAGGCCAGGGCAGCAAAGUCUUCAAGGUCAUCCAUGCUCUGAUGAUGUCACGCUUCUUCUCUGUCUGGAAGACAUUUCCCCAAGAGCAUACCACCAACAUCAGGGAAAUGGAAUCCAACUGGUCGCUGCAAAGUUUGCUGAGCACACAAUGAUAAAGAUGACAAGAAGGUCCUGAGAGAAACACAAUAUUUUUGUGCAGAAUGGGAUGUUCUGCCUUUGUCCCAUGCUUUGAAAUUUACCACAUGAAAAAUAAAAUUAAAUACUGAUAAUCAUAUACGUUUCUGUUAUAUUAGGAUUAGAGACAAGUUCUGUUUAGAAAUAACUCCAAGAACAGUUUUUAUAUUUUGUUUUCACAUUGAAAAAUCAGUCAGAUUUGCUUUAGCUUCAAGGAG